GGACAAUGCAUAAAGAAGAGAUGUUCAGAUUUUCUGAAUGUCAGUUAUAAAAGAGAGGAGAUUUUAAUCCAGAGCACUGAAAUUGAUCGAACCAUUUGCUUGAGUGCCCAAGCAAAUCUUGCUGGUCCGUUUGUGAUCAAAUCUGGAAUCCUAAACUCCUGUGGCAACCAAUCUCAGUACAUGUUGUCCCAAAGGCAAGCAAUCCAACAUCACGCUAUCCAAUUUUUCAAUGUCCACGCUACAUAGAGCUUUUGAAGAAAACCGUAGCAUCAAAUGAAUUCCAGAAAAAAAUUAGACUAUAUGAGGAAUUCAUCAAGACAAUAGCUUACUAUUCAGGAUAUAAUGCUUCUGUUCUCAAGUAUCCUAUGAAUUUUAAAAUCUGGCAUAUACAAGAU